CAACCCUUCAGCACAACCCUUCAAGCCACACACAGAGUUUUGUAGCCUCCACGGGUUACCAGGACUCCCUGGGACCCAUCAGCCUGGAGCAGAGACUCUUGUCCGCGGCUGGAAGUGCUGGCCGGUGAUUAGCAAAGUCCUGCCUGGGGUUUGCAGCAAGGCCCCAUGUGUGAACCCACAUUUCAGGCAGAGCCCUUUGCCCAGGGCUGACAUGGGACUGCGGGUGCUGAACACAGAGGAGCCUCCACCAACGUGCCCUGACUGCCGGGUCAGGACCACAGGGAUGAGCCAUGGAAUGUGAACGUGUGACCCUCGGGAGGGCAGGAGACCAUGGAGAGCACUGUGGCUGCAGGAGGAGAACCUCUCCCACACCCAAACACACUUUACACUCGGGGGUUUGCCUUACAUGUGCUCCAGCUCUGCAGCCACUCGGAGCAGGAGCAGGGCAUGGCAGGAGCUCACACAGUGCUGGGCACACGGCAUACUGGGAAUGGCUUGUGGCUUCCAUGGGUAUCCAGGGAAGAGGGGGGGGUGAGACACAGCCCCCAUGCCUGACUUUCAACCACAGAGCCCAAAUCAAAGAACUCUGCAGAAUUGCUCUUUCCCUUCAAUUAAAAAGCUCUGCCAGGCCAUCCUCAGUGUAUUUUAUUUCCAUGAUCAUGUACUGGACUCUUUGUCCAGCUGAAAGUUUCCCAUGGGAGUCUCUCACCCUUCCCAAGAGGUGUUUUGCUUCUGCUCAGAGGUGGGAGGCCUUGGAGCCCCUUCCAAUUCCUAAAAGGGCUCCGAGAGCUGGAAAGGGACUUUGGACAAGGGCCUGGAGGGACAGGACAAGGGAGAAUGGCUUCAAACUGACAGAGGGCAGAGUUAGACGGAAUACUGGGGAGAAAUUGUUCCCUGGGAGGGUGGUGAGGCCCCGGCACAGGUUGCCCAGAGCAGCUGCAGCUGCCCCAGCCCUGGGAGUGCCCAAGGGCAGGCGGAGCCGCUCGGGAGCUCAUGGCGGCCUGAGGGGGACGC
rnacentral:lncRNA from 1 species